UACGAAGGGGGCUAGCGUUGCUCGGAAUCACUGGGCGUAAAGCGCACGUAGGCGGCUUUUUAAGUCAGGGGUGAAAUCCUGGAGCUCAACUCCAGAACUGCCUUUGAUACUGAGAAGCUUGAGUCCGGGAGAGGUGAGUGGAACUGCGAGUGUAGAGGUGAAAUUCGUAGAUAUUCGCAAGAACACCAGUGGCGAAGGCGGCUCACUGGCCCGGUACUGACGCUGAGGCACGAAGGCCAGGGGAGCAAACGGG
rnacentral:rRNA from 1 species